CAUGUUUUGAUACUAUUAAAAAUUAUAAAACUCAAGCUAUUAAGGCUUCGUUUGGUUCGGGAUUAAAUAAAAACUAGUUAAUUUAGGGAUAAGUAUAAGUUCAAAGUUAAGCUUGGAGUAAACUAAUUUUACGUUUAGAUAAAAAUUAAGUUAUUCCCGGAAAUAAAAAAAAAAUAACAUUUAGAUAGAUAAGAUGAAAUAAGAAGAAUAAUGGAUAGUUAUAAAUAGAAAAUAAUAAUAUUGCCCCCUUAUAUUUGAAUUUAAAUUUUUAAAUUUUAUAUUUAAAAUUUAAAUUUAAAAUAUAGAACUUUAAAAAUUUAAAAAAUUAAAAUAAAAUUUAAAUUUUUAAAUCUCAAAUUCAAAAAUUUAGAGUUCUAAAUUUUAAAUUUAAGUUAAAUUUAAACUUAAAAUAUCAACUAUCAAAUUUUAAAUUUAAAAAAUUUAAAAUAAUAAUUUAAAAUUUAAAAUUAUAAAUAUCAAUUUUAAGAUUAUAAAAUUUAAAUUUAAAAAUAUAAAAUAUAAAUUUAAAUUUAAAAAUAUAAAAUUUAAAUUUAAAUUUAAAAUUAAAUUAUAAAUUUAAAAUUUAAAUUAAAAAAUUAAAUUCGGGUGGAAUC
rnacentral:lncRNA from 1 species